CAUGAAAAAGGAAAGAAAAAACCAGCCUUCACUCUGCCAUCCGCCAUCCGCCAUCAUCAUCAUCACCAUCACCUCCGCCAUCGCCAUCGCCGUUCGCGUCUCUCUCGGUUCGAAAUUCGAAUUGGGUUCGCUCUUCCAUGGUAAACGUGCACGACCCAGAUGAAUCUUGCGGCUCGAUCCCCUCCCUCGCCCCGGAAUCGCGAUCUUAGCCAAAUGUAGAGGAGUAAUUACGGAGCGUGGGACGUGAGUCGUGUGAAUGAUAGGCAUGGCUAUGGAAGAUUUAACAGAGAGAUUAGCUACUUUGCAUAGAACGCGAAGGGAACAAGAGAGAGAACGGCGCCGGAUGCGUGAUAGGCAAAGGAGACAGUCUAUGACUCAUGAACAGAAGGAGAAGCAUCUUGCUAGACGCCGCAGGAAUUAUCAGCUCCGGAGGGAGAGAAAAAAUCAGGGAUCGGAUCAUCAAUCUGGCCAAACGGAUACAGCUAUUGAACAUGGAAAUACCGGAAGAAACGAUAGACAGAUGGAUCAUUCUGUUUCGCAAUUUACUGCGCAAUAUGAUCGUGCUGAUCCUGCAGGAUUUAAUCAAGUUCUUCAAAACAUCAGUGCUGAAAGCUUGAGGUCCAACGGUGGCACAGAGUCUCUUACUUAUGAUUUAGCUAAAAUUCAGAAAAGGUUGCGUCUAAUUCACGUUAAGCAUUUUGCACGAUCCUUAAAGCGUCCCUUGGGUGAGCUUACUAGCAGUAAUAUCCCUAUUGUAGCAAAUCUCAUCCUGAAAGGAACUACAGAGGCUAAUUGUAAAUCAACGACAGGAGUACGUCUAAAUCGUCUCAAACGGCUCGCUCGGACAGCUAAUUCUGCGCCAAAUGAAGCUUCUGAGAAGAACCACCAUGAUGAAACACAAGGGCAACAGAAGCCAGAAGUUGGAGAGGUUCAGCCAAAUGGGGAUAAAAUGACAAAAAUGUCAAGUGACAAUGUUGCAAUUGAAGAUAAAAACUGCUCAGAUGGAAAUCAUGAAUGACUCGACUUUGAGUCAUACCAUGUUCUAAUGGAUUGAUAAUCGAGGGGAGUUUCUUGGCCAGAAAAGAUGAAUUAGUUGAUUUUCUGUUCUGCUUGAUUCUUCUAUGGAAGUGGUGGAAGCUAGAGAGUAGUUAUUGACUUUUUAUGGCAGGAAUAAUGCAAAACUUUGGAUGAUAGAACAGCCUGAUGCUUACAGUGUUGGCCAAGUCUCUCCUUGACAAAUAGGAAUGCACAGUACUAGGAAAAACUGUUUAGGUAGCUUACUUCUAUUCUUUCAUUGGGUCAGGGCUACAGGUUAUGGCUUUUCAUAUACUUCCUCUCUGAAAUAUCAUUAGGAAUAUGCAAUUGGGUCAGUUGAGAAUGUGGAUCAUUCAUGAGCUGUUCUUCUCAUUUGAAAAGUUCAGAAGUUUUGCAUUAUUCCUGCUGACUUGAAAACGGCUUUGUUUCGGUUCAGAUCGCCUUGGUCGUGAAUUGCAGUAUGAUAUACACGACUUGAAUGAUUACAUUA